rnacentral:rRNA from 1 species
CCUACGGGAGGCAGCAGUGAGGAAUAUUGGUCAAUGGGCGGAAGCCUGAACCAGCCAUGCCGCGUGAAGGCUAGUGCCCUACGGGCGUUAAACUUCUUUUGUGCGGGAGCAAUAAUGGCCACGCGUGGCCCGAUGAGAGUACCGUACGAAUAAGCAUCGGCUAACUCCGUCCCAGCAGCCGCGGUAAUACGGGGGAUGCAAGCGUUAUCCGGAUUUUUUGGGUUUAAAGGGUGCGGAGGCGGGGGUUUAGGUCAGCGGUGAAAUACCGGGGUUCAACCCGGGGAGUGACGUUGAUACCGGGGCGCUAGAAUGCCGAUGCCGUAGGAGGAAUGUGUGGUGUAGCGGUGAAAUGCAUAGAUAUCACACAGAACACCGAGUGCGAAGGCAUCUGACGAAUCGGCGAUUGACGCUGAUGCACGAAAGCGUGGGUAUCGAACAGGAUUAGAUACCCGAGUAGUC